GGGAAUGCGGCGUGCUAUACAUGCAGUCGAGCGAACAGGAGAAGGAGCUUGCUCCUUUGACGUUAGCGGCGGACGGGUGAGUAACACGUGGGCAACCUACCCUAUAGUUUGGGAUAACUCCGGGAAACCGGGGCUAAUACCGAAUAAUCUUUUGUCCCUCAUGGGACAAUACUGAAAGACGGUUUCGGCUGUCGCUAUAGGAUGGGCCCGCGGCGCAUUAGCUAGUUGGUGAGGUAACGGCUCACCAAGGCAACGAUGCGUAGCCGACCUGAGAGGGUGAUCGGCCACACUGGGACUGAGACACGGCCCAGACUCCUACGGGAGGCAGCAGUAGGGAAUCUUCCACAAUGGGCGAAAGCCUGAUGGAGCAACGCCGCGUGAGUGAAGAAGGAUUUCGGUUCGUAAAACUCUGUUGUAAGGGAAGAACAAGUACAGUAGUAACUGGCUGUACCUUGACGGUACCUUAUUAGAAAGCCACGGCUAACUACCUGCCAGCAGCCGCGGUAAUACGUAAGUGGCAAGCGUUGUCCGGAAUUAUUGGGCGUAAAGCGCGCGCAGGUGGUUUCUUAAGUCUGAUGUGAAAGCCCACGGCUCAACCGUGGAAGGUCAUUGGAAACUGGGAGACUUGAGUGCAGAAAAAGAUAGUGGAAUUCCAAGUGUAGCGGUGAAAUGGGUAAAGAUUUGGAAGAACACCAGUGGCGAAGGCCACUAUCUGGUCUGGAACUGACACUGAAGGCGCCAAAGCGUGGGGAGCAAACCGGAUUACAUACCCUGGUAGUCCCCGCCGUAAACGAUGAAUGGCUAGUGUUUGUGGGGUUUCCGCCCCUUAGUGCUGCAACUAACGCAUUUAAGCACUCCGCCUGGGGGAGACGGGUCGCACGAGUGUAAAUUCAAAAUGAAAUUGAACGGGGGCCCGCUCCAAGCGGGUGGAGCAUGCUGGUUUAUUUCGAAGCAACCUGGAAAAAACCUUACCAAGCCUUGACAUCGCGCUGAACAACUGUAGAGGAGAGUGUUUGUCCCUUUCGGCGACCAAGGUGCACGGGGGGUGCGUGGUUGUUCUUGACUUCCGUCCCGAGGAGAUGUGUGUGUAAGGUCCGAAAACCCGUAGCGAAACCCGCGGGCCUGA
rnacentral:rRNA from 1 species